AGUUUCCUUCGGGGUCGGGUGAAAUUCCCAAUCGGCGGUGAUGAAGCAAUAGGCUUCUUAGUCCGUGACCCGUGCGGCAAUAUGCCAAGCGGUGGAUCUGGUGCAACUCCAGAGCCGACAGUUAAAGUCUGGAUGGGAGAAGGAAUUU
rfam:Virgibacillus massiliensis genome assembly, contig: 000004